rnacentral:lncRNA from 1 species
CUUGUUCAGCUUUCUCCUGCUGGAUAAAAUGGUCUUCAUUGAUGACAACAACUUUAAGGUCAGUUACAAGGCUCCUAAAUUAUUCUCCUUGAGCUUUGUCUUCUGUUCCAAAUAAUUGAAACCAACUAUGAAUUUUGUAGGUACAGUAAUUUUUGCUCCUUGCCAUGGUCCAAGAAGCUACCAGUUCCUACGUUCAUGCCGAGGAAAUUCAGAAAUGCAGGCUAGGAAAAUAAGUUUAUACUAUAAGUACAUAUAUCUCAACUGAAUUAUUGCCUCUGGAAAAGAAAAAUUGUGUUUUUAUGUAUGAUUUUACAUGUCCAUGGCACAGUAGUAGUUCAUGGCACCAGUAAAACCAGAUUUCUGGAAUUUGCUUGCGUGGAAUUCAAGGUCCUCCUGUGGGUUAUCCAAUAAGGC